rnacentral:lncRNA from 1 species
AUGUGCCCUCCAACUUCAGUUGUGGAUGCCGUAAAAGCAGCCGGAGCUGGCCUAGUACCAGCAUCGGGCACCUCCCUGAAUCUGAGGGUAACGAGGCAGCCACCGGUCCACCGGAAAUGUACAAACAGCUUCUUCCAGGUGCUGGCCUUAGUCUCAAUGCGAUGCUCUUUCGCUCAGCGGAUAAACCGCCCCAUCAGGUGGGACCAUUUGGAAGUGACAGUGACAAUACACAGGGCUCGAGUGUUUUGCACCCAGCGGUGUUUACAGGAAGAGGAAAGCCUGUGUCGUGAUGUCCCAUUGUCACAGAUUGUGAGCCACCUGAGAAAAACAUCUGGGCACAGCAUACUGGGACCCGAGGGCCUGGUGAGACCCACAGAUCGUUGCACACGUCCUCCCAGAAUCAAAGCCACAAAGUGUCUCUGACUGGACAUCAGCUGUCACCUGACUCUUCUUUCUGUUGUGAGUGUAAUAAUCCACUUUCAAAUAUGGGCCCUGAAGCUCUCUUCUACCAAUCUGUUGAAAGGGUGUUUAAAAUAAUAGCAAAUAGAUGCUCAGUGGUUUCUUGGUAAGAUUACAUUCGGGCUUUAGAAGAUGGAUUAUGCGAUGACCAUUCUGACUGUUUAGUUACCUCUCCCUUUUUGUUAGUAGGUUAUUUUUGGAGACAUGACACCUAGUAUUUGAUUGCAAACAUUCCAAUGACCUUAGUUUUUUAAAACACCUGAGAGUGUGGACUUUUGAUUCUUCAUGCUUUUCUGAAACAAGCAGAUUAGGUUAUUAAGCAGGUGAAUUUAAUGAGAAAAAAAUUUCAGACAAGACUAAGAUGGUCUGAUGUCCCAGCAAACAUUUACUGUGAUGUUACAUGGCUGAUCUGAUGUCUGUCUUGAUUUCCAUGAGCCUUAAGAUGCUAAUUACCACUUUUAACAGAUAUUUGGUGGCAGUUAAUGUCCUCAGUUGCUACCUGUUCUUCUCAGAAGCAAUUAUAGGUCCUGGGUUGCACUCUUAAAUUAACAACACACUUGCCAGAUCUUGUAGAAGAGCUGUUUUCACCUUGUAACCACCUACAGACCCUACUCUUCCCUAAGAUGCAUCUGAGUUGUGAUAAAUAUUACCCGGGGUUUAGGAUAAUAUAUGGCAAUCCACUCCAGUAUUCUUGCCUGGAGGAUCCCAUGGAUAGAAGAGCCUGGCAGGCUACAGUUCAUGAGGUCACAAAGAGCUAGACACAACUGAAGUGACUUAACACACACACACACAUGCAUUUUCCUAUCUAUGCACUUACUUAUAACUACCGCAUUAAAACAGAAUACAAACACCUUUAUUUUUCACUGCUUAUGUGUAAACCAGUCACUUGUGUAAGUUCUACUGUUUAU